rnacentral:lncRNA from 1 species
GAGCACUGCGGCAACCAAGGUGUAUUUUAGGGCUCAGUUAAUUAAAAGUUACUUGUCAAUCUGCCUAGGUCCUGGGUUGCACUGAGUGAAACUCCGCUGUUGUGGCUCCCUUUACCACAGGAAGAAGCACACUGUGUUUAUGCAGUUACAGCACUGUUUUGGCUACCCUCCUGUAGAGGUAUCCAUCUGUCUUACCAGGAAAAAUAACUUCUGUAGCUGAGAGGAACACACAAAGCGGUGCUGCUGCAGGACCA